AAUACAUGCAAGUAGAACGCUGAAGGAGGAGCUUGCUUCUCUGGAUGAGUUGCGAACGGGUGAGUAACGCGUAGGUAACCUGCCUGGUAGCGGGGGAUAACUAUUGGAAACGAUAGCUAAUACCGCAUAAUAGUAGAUGUUGCAUGACAUUUGCUUAAAAGGUGCAAUUGCAUCACUACCAGAUGGACCUGCGUUGUAUUAGCUAGUUGGUGGGGUAACGGCUCACCAAGGCGACGAUACAUAGCCGACCUGAGAGGGUGAUCGGCCACACUGGGACUGAGACACGGCCCAGACUCCUACGGGAGGCAGCAGUAGGGAAUCUUCGGCAAUGGACGGAAGUCUGACCGAGCAACGCCGCGUGAGUGAAGAAGGUUUUCGGAUCGUAAAGCUCUGUUGUAAGAGAAGAACGAGUGUGAGAGUGGAAAGUUCACACUGUGACGGUAUCUUACCAGAAAGGGACGGCUAACUACGUGCCAGCAGCCGCGGUAAUACGUAGGUCCCGAGCGUUGUCCGGAUUUAUUGGGCGUAAAGCGAGCGCAGGCGGUUAGAUAAGUCUGAAGUUAAAGGCUGUGGCUUAACCAUAGUACGCUUUGGAAACUGUUUAACUUGAGUGCAAGAGGGGAGAGUGGAAUUCCAUGUGUAGCGGUGAAAUGCGUAGAUAUAUGGAGGA
rnacentral:rRNA from 1 species